CCUUUGUACACACCGCCCGUCGCUCCUACCGAUUGAAUGGUCCGGUGAGGCCUUGGGACUGGCUCAGAGAGGUCGGCAACGACCACUCAGAGCCGGAAACUUGUUCAAACUUGGUCAUUUAGAGG
rnacentral:rRNA from 1 species